GGCCCCGUGCACCCGCCCAGGCCCCUGGCAGCGCGACGCGGUUCCCAGCGGACAGAGCCCACGCCCUGGGGACCCGCAGCGGCGGGGCGGAGCGGAGGGGCGCCUGGCGGGCGCACCGGGGGCUCUGAACCGGAGCCUCGGGCGCGGGGCGGCGGCCCGGGCGGGCGGGCGACGUGCAGCGGGACGGCGGCCAGGCUGCGGAAAAGGAAAGGGGGCUGGCCCAAAGGCAGGAAAAGGAAACCACCGAGGGAUAUUUCUGUUCCCCAUGCUCCUAUGACAGGCACAGGUACAGGAUCUUCCUAAACGAGCAGAGGAGCCAGCUGAGGGCCAGGCACCCGGAUCUGCCAUUUACGGAAAUCAUGAAGAUGUUGGCGGCUCAGUGGGCUCAGCUGUCUCAAGAGAAAAAGCAAAGGUACGUUUAUGAGGCGGAUAAGGACAAGCAACGCUACAUCCGUGAGCUGCGGGCCUACCAGAGCUCCCAGGCGUGUGGAGCCUUCUUGCAGAGGCAAGCAGCGCACGAGGCACGCACACUGUUGGCUCUGGGGGUCCCAGCUGAAGGAAGAGAAGAGAGCUGCAUUUAUUGAGUGUCUACUCACCAUGCCUUCACCAUGGAGGGCACCUCCCAUUCAUCGUCUCUUCCUCCUCAUUGGAAGGCAUCACCAGCCCCCUCCUAGGGGCGCAUGCCCAUGGGGCAGUGUUGAGAGUCCUCAGCAGCAGGGGCCCGGGAGCUCAGGUCCAGGGAGGUGGGCUCCUCAUCAGUGGUUCGGGGUCCACCACCGUCCAUGCGGAGUGCUGUGCCCUGCGCUCUCUGUGCCUGGGGCUGACCACCGUCCCCAGGGCUUCCACGCAAAGCCCAUCGGGCCCCCACGCUGCCACUUCUCACUCCCACCUGAGCUCUCGCCUCAGUGGUCAGGGCGUGGGCUCGGGAGUCCAAGUGCCUGGGUUUAAAUCCCGGCUCUGCCACAUGCUGGCUCUGUGACUCAGCACGAGCCACUGAAGCAGUCUGUGCUUCGGUGUCCUCGCAUGAAAAUCGGCUGUAAUCAGUCCCUCUGGGCUGGGCUUGGUGCAGAGCAGAGGGGUUAAAUUGUAGGGAGCUUGGUGCCUGGCACAUGGCAAGAGUUUGGCAAGCUUUCACUCUGGCUACCCCCCUUUUCACUCUGCAGCAAAGGCACCGCACCCCAGCUUCAUCCAGAGCAGGGAUCAGCAAACUGCUGCAAAGGGUUAGACCAUAAAUAGUUUACCUUUUGUGGGCCACGUGGUCUCUGUCACAACCGCUCGGCUCUGGUUGAAGCAGGAAAGCAGCUACAGAUGGUGUAUAUUGUGUGCCAAUAAAACUUUAUUUAUAAAAACAAGCAGAAGACCAAGUUGGUCCACGGGCCUCUCCACUCUGGCGCGUUGUAGGUACUGGGUUUCCACCUCACAUUUAUUUUUAAUCAAGCACCUGCCCAUUAAAAAACCAUCAACCUGAAAACCACUGAUCUAGCAUGUAACUAUUAGCAGACAAUCCCUGAGCAUAGUGGGGCCUCCGGUCCUCGCUAUGAACGUCAGAGCUAAGAAAACUGUGCCCUGAGACCCUUGGCCAAGGGUCCACUGAGAGCAGCUGUCUUCCCUGCUGGUGUUUUCCUCCCUAAGGACGCCGCUUGUCAGACUUAGCAGGGAGCACCUCGUCUUACUUAAUCCUUCAGGCUCGUGGGAGCCCCUCGGCCUGCUAACCGUUGUGGUUGUUUGGAGACUGUCCCCACACAGAAAGCUAGUGUGAUACAAAGAAAGACGAUUCCAAUAGAGCGUGGUUUUUAAACAAACAAGUUGUGCCUGAUGGAAAACAUGGUAAUUGUUUAAAGCUUACCAUAUAAAAAUCUAUUAAUUACAAUAAACAAUUUUUUUUUAACAUCACCUAGAAUCGGCCAUGCUAAUCAGAAGAAUGCACUCUUUUCGUUUUUUCCUGGUUUCUGGCUCAUCGUUCCAUAGCUGGUCAGAUGCUUAUACAUGGAAGUCAGGGGUAGCCUCGUGGGUUUUAGGGCCGUUCAGACCUCAGUGGGACCUGAGCCGCUGAAGCCAAGCCCUGGUCCUCCAGCAGGAGCCUGGGGUCACUUCUUAGCCUCGGGAAGCACUUCCGACCCUCAAGGUGACCACUCCUCCCUCAGAUGCUUUCUGAUGCCACCUGUCUUCCAGCAGGACCAGGCACACCAGGAAACAGAUUAGACAGGGAGGGCCUUCC